UUCCUGAUGUUGAGUCAGAAUCUCCUUUCUUGUCAUUUGAAGCCAUUGGUUCAAGUCUUACCCUCCAGGGCAGAAGGAAACAAGCUUGUUCCCUCAAGAGCCCUUGAGAUCUUUGAAGAUGGCUACCAUAUCUCCUCUCAGUCUCCUCUUUUCCAGGCUAAACAUACCCAGCUCCUUCAAAC